GGAUUGUGGCUCAGAGGUAGAGUGCUUGCCUAGCAUGUUUGAGGCACUGGGUUCGAUCCUCAGCACCA
rnacentral:tRNA from 1 species